rnacentral:rRNA from 1 species
GACGAACGCUGGCGGCGUGCUUAACACAUGCAAGUCGAACGGAAAGGCCCUUCGGGGUACUCGAGUGGCGAACGGGUGAGUAACACGUGGGUGAUCUGCCCUGCACUUUGGGAUAAGCCUGGGAAACUGGGUCUAAUACCGAAUAGGACCACGCGCUUCAUGGUUUGUGGUGGAAAGCUUUUGCGGUGUGGGAUGGGCCCGCGGCCUAUCAGCUUGUUGGUGGGGUAAUGGCCUACCAAGGCGACGACGGGUAGCCGGCCUGAGAGGGUGACCGGCCACACUGGGACUGAGAUACGGCCCAGACUCCUACGGGAGGCAGCAGUGGGGAAUAUUGCACAAUGGGCGCAAGCCUGAUGCAGCGACGCCGCGUGAGGGAUGACGGCCUUCGGGUUGUAAACCUCUUUCGCCAGGGACGAAGCGCAAGUGACGGUACCUGGAGAAGAAGGACCGGCCAACUACGUGCCAGCCGCCGCUGUAAAAC